rnacentral:lncRNA from 1 species
GGCGGCGCCCCCGCCUCCCCCCGGCGCCGCCCGCCCCGCCCGCGCCCCGCGGUAUAUAGGGGACGGCGCGGCCAGCGGCGGCGGCAGAGGCGGUCGUGAUUGUGGCUGGUCGGCUGCCGAGCGCGAGCUUUUCAUUUUAAGAAAAAAAUUUUUUUUUUGGAGCGGGGUGGGUUUGUGGUGCCGCUGUUGUCGCGCGGCUCCGCGAGCGCCUCUCGUUACAUCCCCGGGGCGGCCGCCGUUCACGCCAUCGAGGCGCUGCGGCCGCGCUCCGCUCCCGUUGCGGGCGGUGCGUGCGCGGCUUCUCGAGGUCGCAGCGGCAGCAGCAGGCGGCGGUGGUGGAUCGGGAGGUUUCCCUCCCUCCUUGCGGCACCAUGAAAGCCGUGAGCCCCGUCCGGCACCCUAGUCGCAAGGCGCAGCCCGGCGUGGCGGGCGGCGGCGGGGGGCACCCGGCCCUGCGGUGCCUGGCCGAGCACAGUGGCUGCAAGGGGGGCCCGCCGUCGGGCGAGGAGCCGGCGGCGCUGUGCCUGCAGUGCGAUAUGAAUGACUGUUACAGCCGGCUGAGGAAGCUGGUGCCCACCAUCCCGCCCAACAAGAGGGUCAGCAAAGUGGAGAUCCUGCAGCACGUCAUCGACUAUAUCCUCGACCUGCAGCUGGCUCUGGAGACGCACCCAGCGCUGCUCCGGCAGCAGCCGCCGCCGCCCGCUCUGCACCCAGGCAGCUGUCCCGUGGGCACUCCCAGGACCCCGCUGACAGCCCUUAACACUGACCCGGUAAGAGGUGCGUGACACAUGAGCGCGGGGAGCGGGAUGCGGAGCGGUGUGGCGCGAUGGUCAGCGCCGGCCGCCGUGGGAGCGCCCCGGUGAUGCGCCGCCACUCUCGACCCCGUGGUUCUGCCGAGAAGCCUUAGUUACCGAAGGGGACGGGGCGGACGGCCGCAGGAACGCCCCGGCGGUGCGCGGUGGGUGCCCGCAUCCCCUCGGUGCGGGCAGGCAGCCGCACGGUGUCUACCGUGUAAUUACAGCCUCUCGAGGGAGUAGCUGUAGCGGCGUGUUUGCACACACGGGGACAGGCGCGCUGUUCCUGCGCUUUCCAGCCUCCGCGCCGUGUAGCGAGUGUGAGGGGCUGUGGGGGCUGUGCACAUGGAACGCAGCGUGCUUUGGGGGGGCGGGAAUCGGGGAGCGGCUCCCUUGUGCGGGACCCCCCGCAGCCCGGCGGCACGGGAAGCGGCUUGCCCCGGCACCCCGCGCCCCCGGGUCUUCCCGCAGCGCUGCGGCCACCGCCUUCGUUCCGUCCCCCUGGGGGGCUUCCCUGAGCGCUCCCGACGGAGCUAUGGUAGUGCCUGGGUACGCGGAGGAGGGGGGGGGGGGUCUCAGUGUGGUUUCUCCCCAGUUGUUAAUUUGCCGUGUUUGGUUGCUGCGCAGGCAGGCUCUGUUAACAAGCCGGGGGACAGCAUCCUCUGCCGCUGACCGCCGCUCCCCAGGUGUGCGGCGGCGCCGCGCCGCGCAGAGGCAACGCGGGGGGCGGGCGGCGGCGGCGGGGGGGGCCCGGCCCUGCCUCGCCGCACCGGAGGAAGGAGCCAUCCAAACCCCCGAGCAGUUCCCAUGCUUCACCCCGGCAGAGCCAAGCCUUUUCACCAUUUUGCACGUCCGUAGCGGUCCCCUCCCCUCCCCCCCCCAGCUCCCCGUGUCCUUUCCCCCCUUCACCCCCCCGGUUCCGUCUCUUCUCGUCGUUCCCGGCCAGCUGUGA